UACGAAGGGGGCUAGCGUUGCUCGGAAUUACUGGGCGUAAAGCGCACGUAGGCGGAUUGUUAAGUCGGGGGUGAAAUCCUGGAGCUCAACUCCAGAACUGCCUUCGAUACUGAGAGUCUUGAGUCCGAGAGAGGUGAGUGGAACUGCGAGUGUAGAGGUGAAAUUCGUAGAUAUUCGCAAGAACACCAGUGGCGAAGGCGGCUCACUGGCUCGGUACUGACGCUGAGGUGCGAAAGCGUGGGGAGCAAACAGG
rnacentral:rRNA from 1 species